rnacentral:tRNA from 1 species
ACAUCGGUAGCACAGUGGUUAGUGCAGUCUGCCGGAUACAGAGGAUACGGGUUCAAUUCCCGUCCGAUAUC